rnacentral:rRNA from 1 species
CCUACGGGUGGCAGCAGUGAGGAAUAUUGGUCAAUGGGCGAGAGCCUGAACCAGCCAAGUCGCGUGAAGGAGGACGGCCCUACGGGUUGUAAACUUCUUUUGUCAGGGAGCAAUUGGUUCCACGCGUGGGCGUAGCGAGAGUACCUGAAGAAAAAGCAUCGGCGAACUCCGUGCCAGCAGCCGCGGUAAUACGGGGGAUGCGAGCGUUAUCCGGAUUUAUUGGGUUUAAAGGGUGCGUAGGCGGAAUAUCAGGUCAGCGGUAAAAAUUCGGGGCUCAACCCCGUCGUGCCGUUGAAACUGGUGUUCUUGAGUUGGAGAGAAGUAUGCGGAAUGCGCGGUGUAGCGGUGAAAUGCAUAGAUAUCACGCAGAACUCCGAUUGCGAAGGCAGCAUACCGGCGCCACACUGACGCUGAAGCACGAAAGCGUGGGUAUCGAACAGGAUUAGAUACCCUAGUAGUC